rnacentral:rRNA from 1 species
AUUUAACGCUGGCGGCAGGCCUAACACAUGCAAGUCUAGCGGAGCGGCGUACGGGUUAGUAAUGCCUAGGAAUCUGCCUGGUAGUGGGGGAUAACGUCCGGAAACGGGCGCUAAUACCGCAUACUAUCAGAUGAGCCUAGGUCGGAUUAGCUAGUUGGUGGUGUAAAGGCCUACCAAAGCGACGAUCCGUAACUGGUCUGAGAGGAUGAUCAGUCACACGGGAAAUGAGACAAGGUCCAGUAACCGAAGGGAGGCAGCAGUGGGGAAUAUUGGACAAGUGGCGAAAGCCUGAUUCAGCCAUGCCGCGUGUGUGAAGAAGGUCUUCGAAUUGUAAAGCAAUGUAAGUUGGGAGGCGUUACCAACAGAAUAAGCACCGGCUAACUUCGUGCCAGCAGCCGCGGUAAUAC